rnacentral:rRNA from 1 species
UAAUACGGAGGGAGCGAACGUUGUUCGGAUUUACUGGGCGUAAAGGGUGUGUAGGCGGUCUUGCAAGUCAGGGGUGAAAUCUCUCGGCUCAACCGAGAAACUGCCUUUGAGACUGCAGGACUUGAGGGCGUGAGAGGAGACUGGAAUUCCUAGUGUAGCGGUGAAAUGCAUAGAUAUUAGGAGGAACACCAGUGGCGAAGGCGAGUCUCUGGCACGCAUCUGACGCUGAAACACGAAAGCCAGGGGAGCGAACGGGAUUAGAUACCCCGGUAGUCCUGGCUGUAAACGUUGGGCACUAAGUGUUGGCCGAUCGACCCGGCCAGUGCUGCAGCUAACGCGUUAAGUGCCCCGCCUGGGGAGUACGGCCGCAAGGUUG